GGGCGGAGCGGCGCGGCGGCGCUAGCGGCGGGCCGGGGCCGGAGCGGCGGCGAGCGGCGGCCGAGCGGCCAUGAGAACCGAGAUCUCCACGGCUGCGGCGUUCGUCACCCGCCUCCUGCGGGCCGCCGGCGGUAUCGGCGAGGAGCAGCUGCGGUGCUUCCGGGAGUGCCUGCAGGAGGCGCUGCGCGAGCACUACAAGCACCACUGGUUCCCCACGGCGCCGACCAAGGGCUCCGGGUACCGGUGCAUUAGGAUCAACCAUCAGAUGGACCCGCUGAUAGGCAAGGCGGCGGCGAUGAUCGGACUGAGCCACGAGAGACUCUUCCAGCUCUUGCCCAGCGAACUGACUCUUUGGGUCGACCCUUUCGAGGUGUCCUAUCGGAUAGGCGAGGACGGCUCUAUCUGCGUCCUCUAUGAAAGCCCGCAGCCCGGGGCGAAGGCGAGCAAAGCCCUGGAGAGCAGGAGCAGCUGUAAGGAGAAGUGGAGAACUGGCCGGUCCAGCCCGUCCGAGAGUUACAACAUGAUGACAGUUUCUAGUUAGAAGUUACUGUUCCUUGUACAAUUAUGUAUGUAUCCCAGUUCUGUGAUAAACUUAAUUGUAACGGAGGUCUCGGUUCUUUUUUUUUUUUAAUUAGUAGCAACGGUAGUUUUCACCCCGUGUCAUUCAAGCUGUAAUCGUACUGCCAAUCCUGUGUGGCCAAGGGCUAACGUGUACAGCACGUCUGCAGUCUGCCUGUUCCUCGGGAUCAUGUCCUGAAAAAAAGCAACAGAAAAACAAACUCAAUUUGAAAGCAAUAACACAAAGGGGGAUUUAAAAGGGAAGCGACGAGCUGCACAUCGAUCUCCACUGACUUGUCUGCACAGACUUUUCUCAGGGUCAUUCAAGUUUGGCUGCAGGGCACGAAUCACAGAAGUAUUUUUUACCUUUUUCAAAGCAUGUGUUCAUUUGGGAGCCGGGUCUCAUCACGUCCUGACAGAAGGGGUGGGGAAUUUGUCUAUCUUAUUUCUAGUUGGCGAAGUAGAAUAAUAAAGACUUGCUCAAACUGC